UACGGGGGGGCUAGCGUUGUUCGGAAUUACUGGGCGUAAAGCGCACGUAGGCGGCUUUUUAAGUCAGGGGUGAAAUCCCGGGGCUCAACCCCGGAACUGCCCUUUGAAACUGGGAGGCUAGAAUCUUGGAGAGGCGAGUGGAAUUCCGAGUGUAGAGGUGAAAUCCGUAGAUAUUCGGAAGAACACCAGUGGCGAAGGCGACUCGCUGGACAAGUAUUGACGCUGAGGUGCAAAAGCGUGGGAGCAAACAGG
rnacentral:rRNA from 1 species